AGACGCAGACAUACCCCAACACUUACAGUUGCGAAGAACUUGAAAAUGCAACACAAGUGUAACUGAUGUAGUGAUAUCUGUCUGCUUUUGCACAGCCUGAAACAACUUUGAGAUGUGAACUUUCCUAUCCAUAUACAUGGCUCUGAAAUCUAGAGAUGACAAAUAUUUCACACUGUUGACAUUUAAAUUUUUUAUCACUUUAGAAGGAACAUUUGCAAAUGUUCUUCGAACCAUCUCAGACUGUCUCCCACACCCACCCAGGUGCUAAAAGGCCCAAGUGUUUCUUCGGUAACUGGCAAAAUCUCCAGCUUUGCUCUGGACAGCUACAAUACAGUUAUGUGGUCAGUGCAAAAAUUUUUUGGCAUAUCAGUAACUCAAAAUGAAGGGAAAUAAUAUUAAAAUAAAUAGGCUACUGAUUAUACUCUUCAUUUUCAUAUUUGAUUAAAAAUCUCAAUUUUUUUACUUUUAAGACACCUACCACAAAAUUUCCUCUACCACAACAAAGUGCCACUGAAUGCAGGAAUUUUGCUACAGAAUUUAGCUUACUACAGAGCAAAAAUAGCUUUUGCUAGAACAGCCUGUGGGCUGCUGUAAGCACAGUAAUUGUUGCAUCUCUCUUUACUGGGGCCUAGCAAAUAGUUCAGUGCAGUCACAAUCAGCCUCAACACCACACUGUUGCACUUCCUCUCACUCCCAACCCUCAUCCAUUCUUCUCCCGCUCCACAUGCAGUGGAACCACUUAUUCUAUACACCCACAGAGGCAGAAUCUGCACCUAAACAAGUCCAUUCUGUCUUUGGUACUGUACGUCAUUUAGAAAUGAAGAGUUUAUCUGUACAUGUGGCAUCCAAAGUGUUUGCAAUUAGGAUUGAUGUAAACAACCCAUUAAGGUAUUAACAGAAGUUCAUAAGUCCACUGGGGAGGUUUCAGUAGGAGUUCACAUCAGGUACUAGAGCAGGGGUGGGCAAACUACAGCCCGGAUCCAGCCUCUCAAGGCUUUGGAUCCAGCCCGUGGGAUUGCUCCCCGUGGCUCUGCAGGCCUGGCACCGCUCUCAGAAGCCACCCCCAGGCAGGGGGUUCUGCAUGGGUUGCCCUUGCCUCCAGGCACCGCCCCCCGCACCUCCUACUGGCCAGUAAUGGGGAAUCACUGCCAAUGGGAGCUUCCAGGGAGGUACCUAGAGGCCCAGCAAGGGCAGGGCACACAGAACCCUCUGCCCUCCCUCCCCCAGGGGCCAGAGUGCUUCCUGGAGUGGCACAGGG